UACGAAGGGGGCUAGCGUUGCUCGGAAUUACUGGGCGUAAAGCGCACGUAGGCGGCUUUCUAAGUCGGGGGUGAAAUCCUGGAGCUCAACUCCAGAACUGCCUUCGAUACUGGAGAGCUCGAGUCCGGGAGAGGUGAGUGGAACUGCGAGUGUAGAGGUGAAAUUCGUAGAUAUUCGCAAGAACACCAGUGGCGAAGGCGGCUCACUGGCCCGAUACUGACGCUGAGGCACGAAAGCGUGGGGAGCGAACAGG
rnacentral:rRNA from 1 species